GCAGCUUUAAGUGAAGAAACGAUCAAGCUGUCGACUCUGAGGGAGCUCUGCUUCAACGGAGUCCCGUUUGAAGGAGGCAUUCGAGCUCUGUGUUGGAAGAUCCUCCUGAACUACCUGCCCCUCGAUCAAACGUUAU